rnacentral:rRNA from 1 species
UACGAAGGGGGCUAGCGUUGUUCGGAAUUACUGGGCGUAAAGCGCACGUAGGCGGAUCGAUCAGUCAGGGGUGAAAUCCCGCAGCUCAACCUUGGAACUGCCUUUGAUACUGGCGAUCUUGAGUCCGGGAGAGGUGAGUGGAACUCCGAGUGUAGAGGUGAAAUUCGUAGAUAUUCGGAAGAACACCAGUGGCGAAGGCGGCUCACUGGCCCGGUACUGACGCUGAUGUGCGAAAGCGUGGGGAGCAAACAGG